UACGGGGGGGGCAAGCGUUGUUCGGAAUUACUGGGCGUAAAGGGCUUGUAGGCGGCCAACUAAGUCAGACGUGAAAUCCCUCGGCUUAACCGGGGAACUGCGUCUGAUACUGGAUGGCUUGAGUUCGGGAGAGGGAUGCGGAAUUCCAGGUGUAGCGGUGAAAUGCGUAGAUAUCUGGAGGAACACCGGUGGCGAAGGCGGCAUCCUGGACCGACACUGACGCUGAAAAGCGAAAGCGUGGGGAGCGAACAGG
rnacentral:rRNA from 1 species